UCCAGGGCGUAAACGCUGCAGGCUUGGUGUUGGGGACCCUACGAGGGUGCCCAGUGCCGGAGUGAAGAUGUUAAGCCUGCCGCUUGGGGAGUACGUUCGCAAGGAUGAAACCUAAAGGAAUUGGCGGGAGAGCACAGCAACGGGAGGAGCGUGCGGUUCAAUUGGAUUCAACGCCGGAAAACUCACCGGGAGCGACGAUUACAUGAAGGUCAGGCUGAUGACCUUACCUGAUU
rnacentral:rRNA from 1 species